AUUACAAAGACAAAGACGAAGACGAAGACAAAGAUCUAC
rnacentral:sRNA from 1 species